GCAUAUGGAGGUUUCAAGGCUAGGGGUCAAAUUGAAGUUACAGCUACCAGCCUACGCCACAGCCGCAGCAAUGCAGGAUCUGAGCCACAUCUCUGAUCUACACCACAGCUCAUGGCAACACCGGAUCCUUAACCCAUUGAUCAAGGCCAGGGAUAGAACCCGUGUCCUCAGGGAUCAUAGUUGGGUUUGUUAACCCCUGAGCCAUGACAGGAACUCCCUCCAGGAAUCUUUUAAAGAGGCUUCCCUGAAGCAGCACAGGCUGUGGUUUGAGAAAAGUGAUGAAAUGAAGCUUUCCUUUCUGUUGCUGAAGGGGAGGGUUUUGUAAGGCACUUCAGUUUUUAGGGCAGAGGUUUGUUGAACAAAGUGCUCCCCCCAGAUGGGCUGAGGCUCAGGAUGUCUCUGUCCCCUUCCUGGGAGAGUCCAGGGCAGGGGGGUGUCGGGUCCCAGGCUCUGUCCCCCUUGUUUCUCCUCCCCACUUCCGGGUGGAGGACUCCAACCAGGAGGGGGUGGGGGGCCCACGUGAGCACCAUUCCCUGCAUCCUAGGACGCAGGCUGGCCAAGGCCCUCACCACCUCUUCCCCUCAGUAUCAGGAGACGCUGUGCCCCAGCAGCAGAAGCGGGCAGGCGGGGAGGGGCAGGGCACCAUGAGCAGGUAAAGGAUCACCGGUUGUGGUGGGCCCUGGGCGGCUCUGCUGCAGCAGGGUCACCAGGACGCUAGUGCACGUCUCUGGGCCCUGUGAAGUGUGACGACAUGUGGGCACGAGCUCUCUGACCCGGAAGUACCUGCCUUGAAUCUUGGACAUAGAGUUUUCUAGAAUCAGGCUGGCAUGGUGUUUGGCUUCUGGGCAUGAAUGCAGUGUGUCAAUGUGGUGGUCUUUUGGGGGGGGGGGCCCUGUGCUCAUCCUUGUGCCCUUUCUCUUGAGAAUUCUCUCCAAAGACCCUUCUUCUUCCACCUGGGCUGCUUCCUUCUGUCCUUGACCCCUCCUGGGGGGACCUGAUCUAAAGCCAAAUCACAUGAAUUAAGGGGGCUGAUUAAUUUAAAGCCAGUCUUACGACAUAGAGUGUUUGACUCAAAAUAGCGGGGUCAGUAAGGAGGAGUGCGUGCCAUGGGAAACACUGAGGAAAAAUACCCCCUUUAUAUGGCAUUGCACUGUGUUUAGUAGGAGGAACGAAGUAAGGCUGGCAGGUACCCAGGGUCCCUCAUUUCAGCCCCUUGGGGGAGGCAGGAGGAAGGGCUGAGAGUUGUUGUUAGAGCGGAUGGCCACUAGAGGGUGUCGCAGCACCAGUAGGGCCCACCUGCUGCUUUCUGGAGGCCCCUCCAGGCUCAGAACUGUGGAUGUCAGGGGAUGGGCAGAAUCCCAAGGGUGUGCCCCAAGAAAAGGGUUUGGUACCCUCUGGCCCAAACUGUCUCACCUCAGAGAGGGGCCAUAGUUCUGCCUUCAGAUAUGUGGGUGACUUCCAGCCUGAUCUGGUGGCCCUUUGGCCAGACAGUUGGACAGGCCGUCUGGGGUCUGACUGCUAUCUGGUUGUCCANAGGCAGAACUCUGGACUCAUACAUACCUGGCUUGAAUCCUGGGUGUGCUGUUUUCUAGAAUCAGGCUUGCAAGGGGUUUGGCAUCAGGAAAGCUGGGCUGGUGGUCGUGAAUGGAGGGCGUGAAAGGGGUGCUAUUUUGGUGGGGGGGCUAUGCUUCUCCCUGUGCCCUUUCUCUUGAAAUUGAUCCCCAGCUUCCUUUCUCCCUUCCAUCUGAAAUCCUCCUCCUCUGCCCAACUCCUGUUAGGGCGGAAAUACCUAAAACCUGGUGACGUGAGGAAAGCGUGUGGGGAUAUUGAUUUAAAGCUGGGUCCCAGAGCUGAAGGGCCCACAUGGAUUUAAAGUCUGCUCAUGUGAAUUAAAAAGCAGGGCAGCUGCGUGGUGUCAGGCUGUGGGGUGAGUGCCCUGGCGGACCGAGAAAGCCAGGCCCCCGUCUGCAGGGCCUUUCAUUGUGCUUAUGUUAGAGCACCAUCGACUGAACCUCUACAAUACUUCCAUUCCAGCUCAGCCUCUUCCUCCGUUGCCAGACUUGUUGCAAGGAAGCUUCCUAAAACCAAGUAAUGGGAAGAGAGGCUGGGUGGUCCUUGGUUACAUGCCGGGUCCCAUGGCUGAAUGAUGCCGAUCGAAUCUGGGUCUGCUCACAUGACUUACAAAGUGGGGUCCUUGAUUUGAGGAUGCGGGGGAGAUGUCGUGUGGAGUGAGGGUCCUGGCCGACUGUGAGAGAGUCAUGCCCCGACCCGCAGUGUAUCUCAGUGCGCCCGAGAGGGGGAGGAGCAAGGACAUCAGCCUGGCAAGUGGCCCACGCCAGUGCAGACCAGGCUUCUGCUGUGGGAGACAGAGGCAGGGCUGAGAGGUGCUGUUAGAGCACAUUUCUGCCAGAGGGCGCCAGCGCACAGCAGGGCCCUUGCAGCUCCCUGUUAGCAUCUCCAGGCUCAGAAGGGGAGGGGAGAUGGACCCAGCGAAGCUCAAGGAGGUGCAGGAGCCUGGUGUGUUUGUGUUCUUGGUGCCUCUGACCCUGUGGCCCAAUUCGCCUCACCUCAGUGAGGGGCAGAGUCUGCUGUCACAUGGCUAAUUCAAUUCCUCCCCCAAAUGAGGGAGAUGGGCAGGCUGUCUGUGGUCUGAGUGUCCUUUUCUUGUUUGCAGGCAGAACUCUGGACCCAGAAACACCUGGCGUGAAUGUUGGAUGUUCAGUUUUCUAGAAUCAGCCUGGUGCGGAGUUUGGCUUCUGGAACGCUGGACAGGCUAGGGCCUCAGUGCCAGGCCAUUUCCUUACCAGUAAAAGGCCGAUCUGUAGUUAGCAAUAGUGUAGAAGUGUCGGUAGUCACGGUGCGGGCCGUGGUUCACCACAGCGCGCAGAGCCCUAUCUAUGGAGCAUGUAGGGCCUCAGUGAGGGACCAUCGAGCAAUAUUUGGGGACAGUUCAAGGCCUUAGUUAGCUUCAGCACAGGGACACAGUUAGGCACUCGUAGUGUGCUUUAGGGACAGUGCAGGGCUUCGGUUAGCAGUUGUGUAGACCCUUAGAUAGGCACAGUGCAGGGCCUUGGGGACAGUUUAGAUCUUUACUUGUUAUAGUGCAGAACCUUAAUAAUAGAGAUUGCGAGGCCUUAGUUUGGGAGCGUGCAGGGCCUUAGGGAAGGUGUGGAACCAUAGUUAGGACUUUGCGGGGCCCUUGUUAGGGACAGUGCAGGGCCUUUGUUAAAAACAGUUGAGGGCCUUAGUUAGAGAUAGCGCAGGGCUUUAGUUAGUCCCAGUGAAGGGCCUUAGGAAUAGUGCCUCAUCUGAGUUAGGGAGAGUGCAGGGCCUUAGUUAGGAUCAGCCCGUGCCAGAGUUAGGGAGAGUGCAGAUCUUUGGUUAGAAAUAGUGCACAACCUCAGAUAGUGACCGUUGAAGGCCUUAGUUAGGGCCAGUGCAGUGUCUUUGUUCGCUUCAGUGCAGGGAUAUAGUUAGGCAGAGUGCAGGGCUACUUAGGGACAGUGUAGGGACUUAGGGACAUUGCAGGGCCCUGAAUAAGAACAUUUCAGGGGUUAAGUUAGGGGCAGUUCAGGGCCUUAGUUCAUGAGAGUGAGGUACUUAGGGACAGUGCAGAACCAUAGUUAGGAAUUUCCUGGGCCCUAUUUAGGGACAAUGCAGCAUUUAGUUAGGCCUUAGUGAAGGACAGUGCAGGCCCUUUGUUAAAAACAGUUCAGGGCCUUAGGGAUAGUGCAGGGCCUGAAUUAGGGAGAGUCUACGACCUUAAUUAGGGGCAAUGCAGAGCUUUAGGGACAGUGCAUGGCCAUACUUAGGCUCAGUGCAGGGCCUUAGGUAUAUUGCAGGGCCUGAGUUAGCGACAGUUCACAUCUUAGUUUGCAGUAAUGCAUAACCACACAUAGUGACAGUAUAGGGUCUUAGGGCCAGUGCGAGGCCUUAAUUAGGGACAGUUCAGGGUCUUAGCUUCAAUACAGGAUCAUGGUUAGGCUCAGUGCAGGGACUUAGGGACAGUGCAGGGACUUAGGGACAGUGCAUAACUAUAGUUAGGACUGUGCAGGGCCCUAGUUAGGGACAGUUUUGGGUUUUAUUUACUGACAGUGAAAGGCCAUAAUUAAGGACUGUAUGGAGGCUCUUUUAGGGACAGUUUAGGGCUUUACCUAGGGCCAUAGCUGGGCAAUGCAGACAUAGGUAUAGUGUAAGGUUACUCAGGACAGUGAAGGGCCUUAGUUAGAAAUAGUACAGGGCUGGGAGUUCCCACUGUGGUGCAGUGGAAACGAAUCCAACUAGUAUCCAUGAGGAUGUGGGUUCAAUUCCUGGCUUGCUCAGUGGGUCAUCGAUCCGGCAUUGCCAUGAGCUGUGGUGUAGGUCGCAGAUGUGGCUUGGAUCCUGCGUGGCUGUGGCUGUGGUGUAGGCUGGCAGCUGUAGCUCUGAUUUGAUCCCUAGCCUGGGAACUUCCAUGUGCCAUGAAUGUGGUCCUAAAAUGGAAAAAAAAAAGGGGGGGGGACUAGUACAGGGCUUUAGGUGUAGGGCCUUAGUUGGGCACAGUGCAGUGCUUGUUAUAGCGCGAGGCCUUAUUAAUGACAGAGUAGAUCUUCAGUUGGCGAUAAGGCAGAAUCAUAGGUAGUCACAGUGCAGGGCCUUGGCUUCAGUACAGGGAAAGCGGCACCACGUGAGGUUACUUAGGGGCUGGGGAGGCUGUGAAACAUGGGAGCGUGAAACCACUCUGAUGAUGAAAGACACAGACACACUUGGGUUUGAAAGAAAUGCUUUGGAUGAGAAAUGAAACCAUGCCAAGGUUUUUACUUGACUUGAGGCUCCAGACGAUUAAACAUUUAAAAAGAACACACACACAGGCACCUACACAAUCUUCAGUAUAUUGUUUGGCCAUAGAGGUUUGUGAAUUUCAGCCAUGUGGAUAAUGAUGAAGACACAGAAUUUAUUCAGAAGCAAGCCGUUGCUGGACGGAUUACCCGAGUGAUGUGAGGUUCUGCGUGUGUGUGUGUGGGGCGGGGGCAGUAAACAGCUAAGCAGAGAGACAUGGAGAGAGAAUUCUGCCGCCUUCCCUCCGCAUCACCGUUGUUAAAAUGAACUCUGCUGAUGAUAAUCUGGGUCCCUCUCUUCAUCCUUCCAGGGCUAGAACCCCUUAACGUUUCGGGGAGUGUGACUGUCCUGGUGCACACGCUGCCUGCGAGCCCGUGGGGAGCUUGAGGGCACUCCCAAAGAAGGCCUGAAAGGGGCUCGGGGCUCCCGCUCCUCCUCCUAAGCCGAUGCCCUGGUGAGCUGGGGAGCAAGUUGGGCAGCUUUAUUCCUCGCCGGGGGCUGCUUCAAGGUCUCCCGGGGAAGCUCUUCCUGUACAUCCGCAUCCUGCAGAGGCCCUGCCUCUGGCAGAAUGACCGCAGCUGCCAUGAUUUCCUCUAGGAGGCUUGAUGAGCCCCGGAAAGCCGAGGGCUGGUGCCGCUGCUGGACCAGGGGAGCGGACGGCUCUUUGCUUGAGGGUGUCUGCUGCUGGGGAGAGACGGGCAGGUCGGCCUGUGCAGGCUGCAGCAUCGCCCCUUGCCCGGGAUGCCAGCUGGCACCCAGCGUGGGAGGUGCAGCGCUGAACUGGGUUCUGUGGCAGCAAAGGCUGCGCAGGACUGGCGAAGUCAGACUAAGGGACAAGCGGGAGGCAGUCUGCUGCCUGGGCGGUGUGCAGGUUUGUCUGCUGCCUUGAUCCUGCGAGGGAAAGGGUUGGGGCUAGAGGAUAGGGUUGGGGGUUUGGGUUCGGGCUAGCGUUACGGUUAGGGUUAGGGAGUUAGGGUUUCGUUAGGGUUGGUUUUAAUUUUUUUUUUUGUCUUUUUGUCUUUUUUGUUGCUGUUGUUGCUAUUUCUUGGGCCGCUUCCGCGGCAUAUGGAGGUUCCCAGGCUAGGGGUCCAAUCGGAGCUGUAGCCACCGGCCUACGCCAGAGCCACAGCAAUGCAGGAUCCGAGCCGCGUCUGCAACCCACACCACAGCUCACGGCAACGCCGGAUCGUUAACCCACUGAGCAAGGGCAGGGACCGAACCCGCAACCUCAUGGUUCCUAGUCAGAUUCGCCAACCACUGCGCCACGACGGGAACUCCCAGGGUUGGUUUUUUGGUUGUGGAUUGUAUCAGUUGUUGAGAUGGAAAUUUUGAGCCCAGCCUGUCCCGGCUUUGGGGUCUGGAUCAAGUGCCUGUGGGCUGUGCACGGGAGGGGGUGCACGGUGCGAUUUUGGUGAGCAGCUGCGCGCAUCCCUGUGCUCUUGCUCUCAAGAGGUCUCCUGAAAUGCCGUCCUUUUCUUUCCACGUGAGCCUCUGUGGGUCUCUGCAUACACGUGGUGUGAAGACCUGCUCAAACGCCAGGUCCGGGGAAUGAAUACCGG
rnacentral:lncRNA from 1 species